CCCUCCAGUCUUGGAGGAGUCUGACUAAUCGCUGGAGUGAAACUGGGGAGUGGCCGCGGCCGGCGGAGCUCCUGAAAGGAAGACAGGGCAGCCCGGCCGGCACCCCCCACCCCGAGGCGGGGCGGCUGUGGCCCUGCCCAAGGGUGGGCAGGACACGGAAGAAUAAGGGAACUGGCAGCCCUGUUCCGCAGGGUUCACCCAGCCCAGAUCUAGAAGCUGCCCCGUAUCCAGCAACAGACAGCAGGGACCCAGCCCAGGCCCAGAGGUGGAAACCUACUCCCCAGAAAAAUGUGUCUCGGCAAUUCUUCACGUGAAGAAAGGUAAAACGUUAGGCACUGUGAAAACCCCUGAGACGGCAGGACCUAGAGACGCUCCAGGCAGCCGGCCCUGCGGCCCCACCACACGGAGCCAGGAAGGAUGUGAACCUCAGGGUUUCCACGUGUGGCUCAGAUCGUCCAGCUGACACUGUUUUCUCUUGACCGCCGCUCAGCAAGUGGGGAACCUGGGAGUGCCUGCCCGGGCUCACCCUGCCCCGCCGCACCCCAUCCUACAGGACACACACCUGCACCCGCCGAACCACCUGGCCCUUCUGGUUACGGACAGACUUUAAUCGCAGUGACCGCAGGCCCCUGUGGGGUAUCCCCAUGGCUCGGCCUUACCACACACACCCUGAACGACGCAGCCUCACUGUGGGAAGUCGGGAAGGGAGAUUCUCCGCGGCUUGUAUUUGGAACAUACAUUUAAGAGCCUUUUUAUCAACCAAAGGGAAGACAGGAAUGGCGGGCUGUAGCAGGCGUGGUUUCUGAGCGCUGUGACCCUAAUGCUGUGUCAAAUCCCAGCGGGACAAAGGAGGGCCUCGGGGACGCCCGCUUGGCCACCCACCCACCUUGCGGGCAAGCUCCUUGCGGGCACGCUCCUCAGCCCGCUCGGCCUCCGUGGGCGGCCCCCGCAUCGUGCCGUGCUCCAGUGUCAGGUGGCCCAGCUCGCUAUCCAGUUUCAUGCUCUGCGUGAAUCUCUGGGGGGUCGGGAGGGAAUGCGCAUCAGCCACAAGCAGCCACUCGAGGAAGCGCGGCCCCUGCGUGGCUGGGACGGUCUGCAGGACCGGCUCCCGCCGCCCAGAGCCCCGAGGGCGAACCUGCAUGCAGUUGGUGAACAUGACGCACACGGACAUGAGCUUGGAGAAGACACGCAGCAGUUCGGGGUUGGUCAGCAUGCAGUCCUUCAGGCAGCUGUCCAGGAAGCUGGUGUGGUGUCCCAGCACGUCAUCGAUGUUGGAGGCCUGGGCGGGAGACACUGUCAGAGCCGCUCUGCUGAGACGACCGCACCGAGGCCCUGACUGGGCUGCUUUGUACGCUCUGUGUUGUUUCCAUGUUUUAAACAAUCCUGUGGUCUUUUGGGGGAAAACUUCAAAAUAUCGCUAAAAGGACACACUGAAUGUGCCCCAAAAGGUCCAAGGUUUUCGUUUUUAAAGACAGAAAACAAGGAGGAAACACUGCCCCCUUGCACUUUCCGCUCCUGGAGUUUGGUGACAUGAACUUUUUGGCUGACGGCCCCCAGGGGCCCUGGGAUGGGCCUGGAUGGGGCGCUGACCCAGAGCCGAGGCUCCGAGGGAACUGCACACUCUUCUGGCAGCCUGAGCCUGGGCCACGCCGUCCUGCGUGCCCUGCCCUCCACCGCUAACACAGCUCUGGUGGCGUCGGGGGAGCCAUCGGGGGAGCUGUCGGGUCCGUGCCCCACCUCCGCCUCCCUGACCUCUGACCAGGCGUCGUGACCAGCUGGGCUAAACUCACAGAUCUCAGGCUCUUCUCCAGGACGUGCCAGGUCGGCUCCAGCACCUCAAACAUCAUGUAGUACUGGAUGUUCUGGACGAAGUUGAGCAUCCGCUGCCGCAGGGUGAAAGCGCCCGCGAACCUGCGCCAGGCGAAGGCGUCAGAUACACAGGGCGCCCGCGGGCCCCCAGCACUCGCGAAGUGCAGAGCACCCCUGGGCCUGCAGGCGCUCCCAACCCUGGAGGAGCCGGAGGUCCACGAAGGGCUCUGGCUCAGACACGCCCCACCAUCCCACAGUCUAACGGUAGCAUGGAACAUCAGAGACGUGGAGGCUGCACAGGCCAGCUCCUGGGUCUCCGUUUUCGGGGUGUGGAGAGGAACCACCCUGCUCCACGGGAGCCCCGGAGGACGUACCACUUGGCCGAGUGCAGGGAGUACUGCUUGGCAGUCUUGUUGCUGAUCCAAACGUUGCAGAGCUGCCGUUCCACGUGCUUGCAGUAGAACAUGUGUCUGAAGAGCAUCUGAUAGCGGGUCAGGGCUUUCCUGCGAAGAAGGAACAAAGCGGAUUCCGACGGACGCCUGGGGGUUGUGGCCGGCACCAGACGUCAAAGGCGAGGCUCACGGGGCGGAGCGUGACCUGAGCAGCCAGUAACCCCCAGGGGCCUAAGCAGGCGCGAGAGCCUGAUGCUUACCUGUUAAUGAUCAGAGACAGGGGCCACUUCACCACGUAGUCGAAGGAGAAGGCCUCCAGGCCGCUCAGCGUGAGUUCGGUGGGGUCAGCGUG